UUGGAGGGCAAGUCUGGUGCCAGCAGCCGCGGUAAUUCCAGCUUCAAUAGCGUAUAUUAAAGUUGUUGCAGUUAAAAAGCUCGUAGUUGAAUUUCGGGGUUAGUAGGCUGGUCAUGCCACAGGUAUGCACUGGUCUUACUGAUUCCUCCUUCCUGAUGAACCGUAAUGCCAUUAAUUUGGUGUUGCGGGGAGUCUGGACUGUUACUUUGAAAAAAUUAGAGUGUUUAAAGCAGGCUAACGCUUGAAUACAUUAGCAUGGAAUAACGAAAUAGGACGUUCGAUCUUAUUUUGUUGGUUUCUAGGAUUGACGUAAUGAUUAAUAGGGAUAGUUGGGGGCAUUAGUAUUCAAUUGUCAGAGGUGAAAUUCUUGGAUUUAUUGAAGACUAACUACUGCGAAAGCAUUUGCCAAGGAUGUUUUCAUUAAUCAAGAACGAAAGUUAGGGGAUCGAAGACGAUCAGAUACCGUCGUAGUCUUAACCAUAAACUAUGCCGACUAGGGAUCGGAUGAUGUUAUUUUUAAUGACUCAUUCGGCGCCUUACGGGAAAC
rnacentral:rRNA from 1 species